rnacentral:rRNA from 1 species
GACGAACGCUGGCGGCGUGCCUAAUACAUGCAAGUAGAACGCUGAAGAGAGGAGCUUGCUCUUCUUGGAUGAGUUGCGAACGGGUGAGUAACGCGUAGGUAACCUGCCUGGUAGCGGGGGAUAACUAUUGGAAACGAUAGCUAAUACCGCAUGAAAUGGAUUAUAGCAUGAUAAUUCAUUGAAAGGUGCAAAUGCAUCACUACCAGAUGGACCUGCGUUGUAUUAGCUAGUUGGUGGGGUAACGGCUCACCAAGGCGACGAUACAUAGCCGACCUGAGAGGGUGAUCGGCCACACUGGGACUGAGACACGGCCCAGACUCCUACGGGAGGCAGCAGUAGGGAAUCUUCGGCAAUGGACGGAAGUCUGACCGAGCAACGCCGCGUGAGUGAAGAAGGUUUUCGGAUCGUAAAGCUCUGUUGUAAGAGAAGAACGAGUGUGAGAGUGGAAAGUUCACACUGUGACGGUAUCUUACCAGAAAGGACGGCUACUACA